AGCAGCCGCGGUAAUUCCAGCUCCAAUAGCGUAUAUUAAAGUUGUUGCAGUUAAAAAGCUCGUAGUUGAAUUUCGGGAUCAAUACGUCUGUCGUGCCUUUGGUACGUACGGGUGUAAUUGGUUUCUACCUUCUGAGGAUCCUUGAUGUCAUUAAUUUGGUGUCUUGGGGAAUCAGGACUGUUACCUUGAAAAAAUUAGAGUGUUUAAAGCAGGCAUACGCUUGAAUACAUUAGCAUGGAAUAAUGAAAUAGGACGUUCGAUUCUAUUUUGUUGGUUUCUAGGAUCGACGUAAUGAUUAAUAGGGAUAGUUGGGGGCAUUAGUAUUCAAUUGCCAGAGGUGAAAUUCUUGGAUUUAUUGAAGACUAACUACUGCGAAAGCAUUUGCCAAGGAUGUUUUCAUUAAUCAAGAACGAAAGUUAGGGGAUCGAAGACGAUCAGAUACCGUCGUAG
rnacentral:rRNA from 1 species